rnacentral:rRNA from 1 species
AUUGAACGCUGGCGGCAGGCCUAACACACGCAAGUCGAGCGGAUGAGAGGAGCUUGCUUCUCGAUUCAGCGGCGGACGGGUGAGUAAUGCCUAGGAAUCUGCCUGGUAGUGGGGGACAACGUUUCGAAAGGAACGCUAAUACCGCAUACGUCCUACGGGAGAAAGCAGGGGACCUUCGGGCCUUGCGCUAUCAGAUGAGCCUAGGUCGGAUUAGCUAGUUGGUGAGGUAAUGGCUCGCCAAGGCGACGAUCCGUAACUGGUCUGAGAGGAUGAGCAGUCACACUGGAACUGAGACACGGUCCAGACUCCGACGGGAGGCAGCAGUGGGGAAUAUUGGACAAUGGGCGAAAGCCUGAUCCAGCCAUGCCGCGUGUGUGAAGAAGGUCUUCGGAUUGUAAAGCACUUUAAGUUGGGAGGAAGGGUUGUAGAUUAAUACUCUGCAAUUUUGACGUUACCGACAGAAUAAGCACCGGCUAACUCUGUGCCAGCAGCCGCGGUAAAAC